AGGGCCAUAGCUCAGUGGUAGAGGACAUGCUCUACAUGGAAAAGGUCCCAGGUUCAAUCCCUGGUGUCUCUA